AAAGAUAGGGAAAGGGGGAAGGAAGAGAAGGGAAAGAAGAUAUAGAAGGGCAAAGAAUGGUAAAAAGGACCCAGACACAUGCACGCACACACAAAACCAUGUUAUAUGCAUCUAACCUUUAUAUACAUUUUGGUGUUUACCUUAAAGUGCUUUGGGUUUUUGUUUGUUUUUAUUUGGGUACACAUCUAUGAAAUAUUACACAGAUACUACUGCAAAGAGGACUUAAAUAUGUCAUUACGCUAUUUGUUUUAAAACCAUUCCUUAUUUUCAAAAAUGAAGCUAUUUAAGAGAAGUGGGAGUUCCCAUCAUGGCUCAGCAGUUAAUGAAUCUGACUAGUAUCCCUGAGGAUGCAGUUAUGAUCCCUGACCUUGCUCAGUGGGUUAAGGAUCUGGCAUUGCCAUGAGCUGUGGUUUAUGUCACAGACGUGGCUAAGAUCCUGAGUUUCUGUGGCUGUGGCAUAGGCUAGCAGCUACAACUCCAAUUCUACCCCUAGCCUGGAAAUCUCCAUAUGCCGAAGGUGUGGCCCUAAAACAGCAGGAAAAAAAAAGAGAGAGAGAGAGAAGUAUUUUGUACCUCAAAAAAGGCAUAAAUAAAAUUGUUCUUUGACUGCUGGUUAAGGUCACUUUGGAACUUGAAGCUAUUUUCAUUUCUGUGUAUUCCAGUGCCAACAGUAACUGUUAAGUGUUUGGGACUAUCAUGCAGCAAAGGGAGAAAUGGCAGAAGAAUUUUGACAAACUGAAGGGAUUUGUCACAAGCAGACAGGAAGAGGGAACAUGUGUUUCUGAGAAAGUGUGUCCUGAGGUUUCUAGAGGAGGCUGCCAGCUUGAGAACACAGCAAGAGCUGUCUCCCCAGAACAUUCACCUUGUCUGUAUCGGCUAGCCAGCUCCCCACACAGGAUGUCCACCUUCUAACUCCUCCAAAGGAAAGUAAUGUCAAUCAUUGGAAAGCAAAAAACAAACAAACAAAAACAACAACAAAAAACCCCCACAAAAAACCAAAAAACUAAAACUCACUGCAAGUGUAAAACAUAUAAAACAUAGAACCUCCAUGCUAUGAAAUCUACAAUGAGUCACAUGGUAAUGUAGGCUUGCACCCAAAAGGCUGAAAGGAAACUCACCAAAUGUUAAGAGGUUAUCUCUAUAAAGGUGGAAUUAAGAUGAUUUUGUUUUUUUCUUUAUAUGUGUCUGUAUAUCACAGAGAGAACAUACUAUAACAAAAAGAAGAAUUAUUUUCAUGGAUAACCUAGAGAAGAAACAAGAUUAAGAUGUAAUUAACCAUAAAGUUCAGGUUACUUCCCCAUACUUAGAUCUCAACAAAAAUCUUUGUCUUGGACUCCUUAAAAUUCAGAGUUCUUAUCAAGAAAACGAAAAGGAGGAGUUCCCGUUGCGGUGCAGUGGUUAACGAAUCCAACUAGGAACCAUGAGGUUGCGGGUUCAAUCCCUCACCUUGCUCAGUGGGUUAAGGACCUGGCGUUGCCGUGAGCUGUGGUGUAGGUUGCAGACACGGCUCGGAUCCUGCGUUGCUGUGGCUCUGGUGUAGACCAGCGGCUAUAGCUCCAAUUAGACUCCUAGCCUGGGAACCUCCAUAUGCCGCGAGAGCAGCCCUAGAAAAAG
rnacentral:lncRNA from 1 species